AUGAGCAAUACUGAACAAAUUCUAAUAGAGCUCAUGUGCCAGUUGAUAGCGACAUAUCGAGCGAUAAUAAGAAAACAACAGCGCUAUCAACACAUCGCUAUGACGAUGCA